GAUGAAGAACGUAGCAAAAUGCGAUAAGUAAUUUGAAUUGCAGAAUUCAGUGAAUCAUCGAAUCUUUGAACGCACAUUGCGCCCGCCAGUAUUCUGGCGGGCAUGCCUGUUCGAGCGUCAUUUCAACCCUCAAGCUCAGCUUGGUGUUGGGACUCGCGGUAACCCGCGUUCCCCAAAUCGAUUGGCGGUCACGUCGAGCUUCCAUAGCGUAGUAAUCAUACACCUCGUUACUGGUAAUCGUCGCGGCCACGCCGUAAAACCCCAACUUCUGAAUGUUGACCUCGGAUCAGGUAGGAAUACCCGCUGAACUUAAGCAUAUCAAUAAGCGGAGGA
rnacentral:misc_RNA from 1 species